UACAGAGGUCUCAAGCGUUGUUCGGAUUCAUUGGGCGUAAAGGGUGCGUAGGCGGCGCCGUAAGUCAGGUGUGAAAUUUCGGAGCUUAACUCCGAAACUGCAUUUGAUACUGCGGUGCUUGAGGACUGGAGAGGAGACUGGAAUUUACGGUGUAGCAGUGAAAUGCGUAGAGAUCGUAAGGAAGACCAGUGGCGAAGGCGGGUCUCUGGACAGUUCCUGACACUGAGACACGAAGGCCAGGGGAGCAAACGGG
rnacentral:rRNA from 1 species